AAUGUAUGUGUUCUUCAAUCUUCAUAGUAAUGAAUAGAAUCAUUUACUUUCAUUCUCUUUCAAUUCUUUAUGAGAGAAUGGAUAAAAUAAUUAUUAUUACCUAUAAUUUGGAAAUUUCUUGUUAAGAAUGUGAGAUUUAUAAAUGCAAACGGAUUUCGGCGACAUUACUAAACGCAUAGUCGCGCUAUGUAUGUGCAUACAUAUAUACAUACAUCAUACGAUCACAUCUUUCAACGUCAGAUAUGGUUCUCUUUAUUUGGAAUUGUGAUUCGUUUUCCAGUGAAUCCGUAGACAAUUUUUCAGAUUUAUUCUGCGCCAAAUUUUCAGCAGCGUUGGCAAGUGAUAUCUGGCAAGGUCACAUCGGCGAAUUCUUUUUGUAAUAAGUAGGUUUCACUGACGUUUGCAGUGCGAAAGCAAAGCGGAAUGUGCUGAUUAGGUAUAAUCACUUGUUUUGUCGUUUCUAAAUCUUAUUACUAAAUCCAAUGAUACUGCAGGUAAAGAAAAAUUACUUUUGACUUGACUGCGUUGACUGAGAUGGCAAAUGCAACAUUAAUUCAUUAAUAUUCUCCGUGAUAUAUUUUCACUCAUACAUUUCUUUACACUUAGAACUCACCAUACAUCUAUAAUAAAAAUGCCGAAGACUUUUUUAUUAGAGAUAUAAGAAUGAAA